rnacentral:tRNA from 1 species
CAGGGUGUGGCUGAGAUAGUUAAGCAACUCCCCUACACCGAGAAGAUAUCCAUGCAAGUUGGAUCACCCUGA